rnacentral:rRNA from 1 species
AUUGAGCGCUGGCGGCAUGCCUUACACAUGCAAGUCGAACGGUAACAGGUCUUCGGAUGCUGACGAGUGGCGAACGGGUGAGUAAUACAUCGGAACGUGCCUAGUAGUGGGGGAUAACUACUCGAAAGAGUGGCUAAUACCGCAUGAGAUCUACGGAUGAAAGCAGGGGAUCGAAAGACCUUGUGCUACUAGAGCGGCCGAUGGCAGAUUAGGUAGUUGGUGGGAUAAAAGCUUACCAAGCCGACGAUCUGUAGCUGGUCUGAGAGGACGAUCAGCCACACUGGGACUGAGACACGGCCCAGACUCCUACGGGAGGCAGCAGUGGGGAAUUUUGGACAAUGGGCGAAAGCCUGAUCCAGCAAUGCCGCGUGCAGGAUGAAGGCCUUCGGGUUGUAAACUGCUUUUGUACGGAACGAAAAGCCCUGGGUUAAUACCCUGGGGUCAUGACGGUACCGUUAGAAUAAGCACCGGCUAACUACGUGCCAGCCGCCGCCGUAAAAC